rnacentral:rRNA from 1 species
UCCUCCCUCUGGCGGCGUGCUUAACACAUGCAAGUCGAACGGAAAGGCCCUGCUUUUGUGGGGUGCUCGAGUGGCGAACGGGUGAGUAACACGUGAGUAACCUGCCCUUGACUUUGGGAUAACUUCAGGAAACUGGGGCUAAUACCGGAUAGGAGCUCCUGCUGCAUGGUGGGGGUUGGAAAGUUUCGGCGGUUGGGGAUGGACUCGCGGCUUAUCAGCUUGUUGGUGGGGUAGUGGCUUACCAAGGCUUUGACGGGUAGCCGGCCUGAGAGGGUGACCGGCCACAUUGGGACUGAGAUACGGCCCAGACUCCUACGGGAGGCAGCAGUGGGGAAUAUUGCACAAUGGGCGGAAGCAUGAUGCAGCAACGCCGCGUGCGGGAUGACGGCCUUCGGGUUGUAAACCUCUUUCGCCUGUGACGAAGCGUGAGUGACGGUAAUGGGUAAAGAAGCACCGGCUAACUACGUG